GUGUGCCGGCAGGUGGCAGGAGAAAACCUUGUUUGAAGGGAUUUUAGCGAAUGGAGGGGCGGGCUGCCAGGCCAUACCAAGAAGAGAAAAAGCAGCUAACUAGCCACAUACUAGCACACUUGGGCAGUCGGUCACGGGCUUUCCAUCUGUCAGAACCCCUACCCAAAUUCACCUGGGUUAGCCAUAAAAUGAACAAAGCUCAAAGCAGUGAAAAACUAGACAGCGAAAUUUCAGACAGUCAUGGGAACCAGGGUCUGUACAUGAGUAUUAAUGAUCCAGCCCCGGGCAUUUUCCAAGGGCUUAAUAGUUUAAGGAUGAUAACCUCAGGUAGCCAUUAAUCAUGAAAACACCUAUGGCAUAUCUGUUAUAGUGACUGUAAUUAGGGAAGCCCCCCCCCACACACACACACCUUACAAAUGCAUGCCCCAUACAAGCUAAUUACAUCGUGGGCAAAUGAACCUCUUCUCCUAAGAAGGGUCCCCACCGACUGGAUGAUGGUUGGCAAGUCCGAAAACCCACCGGUGAACGUUCAGUCAAGAGCCCUAGCUGAGAAACAAGUGCUGGAAGACUGAGUUUAAUUAGCUGGAACCAUCAGGAGACAACAACCUUCAGAUGGCCCGUAAGCAGAAGUUCCACUGAUGGCCAACUUGACCAUUGGAAGAAAGACAUUGACUUGAAGAGUCAUCUGGAAAUUAACGUGAGAUGGAGUGUGUGUGUAGGGAGGGGGAUGUACCUUUUAUCUAUCUCUUUAUUUUAUUGUUUCUAUCCUAAGCAUCUCUACCUUCUAGUGUUGUUGGAGCCUUCAGUGUUGUGUAUCCCCAUGAAAUUUUGACAUAAAACUGUAACACCAUUGA